rnacentral:misc_RNA from 1 species
GAAAUGCGAUACGUAAUGUGAAUUGCAGAAUUCAGUGAAUCAUCGAAUCUUUGAACGCAAAUUGCGCUUCGGAGCUUACAUGCCGGAGCAUGCCUCUUUGAGUAUCGGUUCUACCUUUCUCCUUUCACUUUUACUGGUGGGAGCGCAAGAAGACAUUGAGCGUCUCGCUGGCAACAGCGCGUCGCUUCAAGUGGACGGCACGGCUCUUUGCGCUGUUCGCGUUGCGUUGGAAAGAUAGGUCACUUCGGUUGACUUUCUGCCCUCACAGGCUAUUUUUCCCUCGCAUGCAGCAGCCGCCGCUUCUGCUUCUGCAGAGUGCGGCGAGAUGCAGUCACCGAGCGGUCGAUCGGGCGCCACCAAGGCGUUCGGCGGCCACUCAAAAACACCCAUACCCAAUCUGAUCUCAAAUGAGGUAAGAGGACCCCCUGAAUUUAA